rnacentral:rRNA from 1 species
AUUCCUACGGGGGGCAGCAGUAGGGAAUCUUCCACAAUGGACGAAAGUCUGAUGGAGCAACGCCGCGUGAGUGAAGAAGGGUUUCGGCUCGUAAAGCUCUGUUGGUAGUGAAGAAAGAUAGAGGUAGUAACUGGCCUUUAUUUGACGGUAAUUACUUAGAAAGUCACGGCUAACUACGUGCCAGCAGCCGCGGUAAUACGUAGGUGGCGAGCGUUAUCCGGAAUUACUGGGUGUAAAGGGUGUGUAGGCGGGUUUGCAAGUCUGAUGGGAAAA